rnacentral:lncRNA from 1 species
AUAUUGCAAAAAUCAUGUGAUCCUAAACAUAAAUUUCUUAGUUGAUUCCUUUAACAGUAAUAUUUAGUAAAGAGAUUUUUCAAUAAAACUCAUUUUGUUUGAAAACCAACAAAAAUGAUUGGUUUAAAUGCAGUUUUGCCUCUGCUUGAAAAUAGCUACCUAUGGAAUAAUAAACCAGCUUUUAAAUUUGGUCAUCAUUCUUAUAACGUAAAAAUUAGUUUGAUUCGAUAGCAAAUUGAUUUUAAAUUAACUUUCAAUUAUUUCCUUCUUGAAUUUAUUCUAAAAGCCUUUUGCAUUUUGUUACCUAAUGCUUAACCUUUGUUUUAAAAUAUAUAUUAAAAAAUAGAAGAUGUAUAAGGAAAUCUUAUUACUAUUUAAGCAUUACAAAAAUAUUUCUGAAAGAAAUUGGGAUUAAAUUUGUAUCAUAUGGUGAAAAUUAGCUUUUUAGACUUUGCUGGUUUUAAAUCAGAGCAUAGUGUGUUUGAAACAGUUAAGAAACGCAAUGGCGAAAAACCAAAACCAUGUCUUAAUCAAAAUAGUGUUCUGUUUCUGUUCAGGCAGCUAUUAUAGUGCUCGAAUGUUGAUAGUGUUUAUAGACCACCCUAUACUCAGUCACUGUCUUAUACCUCACUCCUUUUCACACAAAAAGCAGCUGCAAAACAAAGUUUUUCUAAAACCAGUCAAGAGUAAACUUUUUCCUCAUUUGUCUUCCAGACACGAAGAUCGAUUGAGAAGUUAUUAGAAUGGGAAAACAAUAGGUUAUACCACAAGCUGUGCUUGCACUGGAGACUGAGCAAAAGGAAAUGUGAAACGAAUAACAUGAUGGAAUAUGUCAUCCUCAUAGAAUUUUUACCAAAGACACCGAUUUUUCGACCAGAUUAGCAUUUGCUUUAUUUAUAGAGACUUUCCAAGUAUGUUGUCUUUCCAAUGGUGCCUUGCUUGGUGCUCUCCUGGUGGUGACAUAGCAUUGGUUCUACAGAAUCGUGUGGUGUUUUUUUGUUUUGUUUGUUUGUUUUGUUUUUUAAUAACCGCAUGUUCUAAGUGUGCAUUUUUGUUAAACUUUGCAACAGUUAUUUCAUACAGAUGUUUAAUACUUAAGUUAUUGUGCUCUUUUCUGUUAUGUAUUCUGAUUUUCAAGGAUUACUUUUUUGUAUUAUCAAAAAAAAAAUACAUUUGAACUUAGCAUAAAGAGUGGCCAGCCUUUUUUAUUUUACCACCAAGGUACAUACAAUCCUUUAUUUAUUAAUUCCUUAAUAUAGAAAAAGACCUUUAUAAGGCUCUACUUAUCUACUCUAGCAAGCACACACUUUUUAUUAUUUUUCUUGUUUUUUAAAUUUAUUGUAGUCAUUGUUAUAAAAUAGUAAAUUUUCUUUGAUAGCUUUUUGAACCCUAAUAUAUUCUUUCUCAUACAAUUCCUAAUGCUCUGUUUACAGCAGAAAUACCUGUAACAUUAUGAAGACCUAUUAAAAAGUUUUGAAAGUAUUUCUGUCUUCAAAAGUAGUAAGGCAAGAGUAAAUUAUUUUCAUUAGAAUAGAUAAAUCAAUGAAUGGUAUGCAUGCAUCUAAUGGUUACUAGAGCUCAGGAUCACAAAAUAUAGUAGCAUUACAAUCUGUAUAUUUUUGAUCAAGAUGAUUAAAAUGGCCUUAUUUGUGUUAUUUUUUUAUUGUUUAUCAAAUAUUAUAUACAAAAGUGUAGAGAUACUCCUUUUAAAAAUUUCUAAGGAAAAUAUUUCUCCAGUCUAACCCAAUUGUAGAAUGGAUCUAUGUUUCCAAAAAAGUUUUUGAAAGAAAGCAAAAGUUCUAGCAUUAAAGUAAGCUGAUAUGUAAAUACCCCAUUGAUAUUUAAAGCAGAUGAUUACUAAGAAAGGGAGGACAUAUAUAGUACUGUUUUAAUCUACUAGUUUGCUUUCAGGUCAGUUAUGUAUACUUUUUUGAUUGAGGGUGUGACCUAUAAGUUUGAGUUAGAUCAGUUUUGUUUCUUUAAAAUACAUACAAACAUACUUUUUUUUUUUUCUCCUUUCGGUUGUACAUAGCUCCAUGCAUUUUUAAACUCGCUAAAUUUCUGAAAAGCCUAUGUAUAAAUUUUCAUUUUUAUAAACCAGAAAUUAU